CGGGGAGGUCGAAUCAUCGUGCACAGUACCAUCACAAUAAUGAAUCUUCCGCAAGGGCCAUAACGAUAAAAUAAACUUAGAUCUAACCUCAAAUCAGAGGAAAAUCUAAGCCUGUGCACGUACCAUGGUAAUCAAAACACAACUAACUCCAUUGUCUUCUCAACAAAUGAGAGAGACGGGUAAUAACCUAGUCAAGCAUCUAUAGUGAGAUAUAAAACAAUGUCACAAUCCUUUUAGUGAGCAUAAAUCACAA
rnacentral:misc_RNA from 1 species